UACGUAGGGGGCAAGCGUUGUCCGGAAUCAUUGGGCGUAAAGAGCGUGUAGGCGGCCAGAUAAGUCCGCUGUGAAAUCUCGAGGCUCAACUUCGAGCUGUCGGUGGAGACUGUCUGGCUAGAGUCCGGAAGAGGAGAAUGGAAUUCCUGGUGUAGCGGUGAAAUGCGCAGAUAUCAGGAAGAACACCCGUGGCGAAGGCGGUUCUCUGGGCCUUACCUGACGCUGAGGAGCGAAAGCGUGGGGAGCGAACAGG
rnacentral:rRNA from 1 species